GAUGAACGCUGGCGGCGUGCCUAAUACAUGCAAGUCGAGCGAACAGACGAGGAGCUUGCUCCUCUGACGUUAGCGGCGGACGGGUGAGUAACACGUGGAUAACCUACCUAUAAGACUGGGAUAACUUAGGGAAACCGGAGCUAAUACCGGAUAAUAUAUUGAACCGCAUGGUUCAAUAGUGAAAGACGGUUUUGCUGUCACUUAUAGAUGGAUCCGCGCCGCAUUAGCUAGUUGGUAAGGUAACGGCUUACCAAGGCAACGAUGCGUAGCCGACCUGAGAGGGUGGUCGGCCACACUGGAACUGAGACACGGUCCAGACACCUACGGGAGGCAGCAGUAGGGAAUCUUCCGCAAUGGGGGAAAGCCUGACGGAGCAACGCCGCGUGAGUGAUGAAGGUCCUCGGAUCGUAAAACUCUGUUAUUAGGGAAGAACAAAUGUGUAAGUAACUAUGCACGUCUUGACGGUACCUAAUCAGAAAGCCACGGCUAACUACGUG
rnacentral:rRNA from 1 species